rnacentral:rRNA from 1 species
UACAGAGGGUGCGAGCGUUAAUCGGAAUGACUGGGCGUAAAGGGCGCGUAGGUGGGUUGAUAAGAGAGUUGUGAAAUCCCUGGGCUUAACCUAGGAAUGGCAACUGAGACUGUCGAUCUGGAGUACAGUAGAGGGUAGUGGAAUUUCCGGUGUAGCAGUGAAAUGCGUAGAUAUCGGAAGGAACAUCAGUGGCGAAGGCGGCUACCUGGACUGAUACUGACACUGAGGCGCGAGAGCGUGGGGAGCAAACAGG